AUACGGAGGGUGCGAGCGUUAAUCGGUAUUACUGGGCGUAAAGGGUGCGUAGGCGGCUUGAUAAGUCGGAUGUGAAAGCCCCGGGCUUAACCUGGGAAUUGCAUUCGAUACUGUCAGGCUAGAGUAUGUCAGAGGUUGGCGGAAUUCCUGGUGUAGCGGUGAAAUGCGUAGAUAUCAGGAGGAACACCAGUGGCGAAGGCGGCUAACUGGGACAAUACUGACGCUGAGGCACGAAAGCGUGGGGAGCAAACAGGAUUAGAAACCCUAGUAGUCC
rnacentral:rRNA from 1 species